rnacentral:rRNA from 1 species
GACGAACCGUGCAAAUGUUGUUCGGAAUCACUGGGCUUAAAGGGAGCGUAGGCGGGCUAUCAAGUCUGGGGUGAAAUGCCGCGGCUCAACCGUGGAACUGCCUUAGAUACUGACGGCCUCGAGGGAGAUAGGGGCAUGCGGAACUGUAGGUGGAGCGGUGAAAUGCGUUGAUAUCUACAGGAACUCCGGUGGCAAAAGCGGCGUGCUGGAUCUCUUCUGACGCUGAGGCUCGAAAGCUAGGGGAGCAAACGGG